rnacentral:rRNA from 1 species
CACGUAGGCACCAAGCGUUGUCCGGAUUUAUUGGGCGUAAAGAGCUCGUAGGCGGCUUGUCGCGUCGUCCGUGAAAACUUGGGGCUCAACCCCAAGCUUGCAGUGGGUACGGGCAGACUAGAGUGCGGUAGGGGAGACUGGAAUUCCUGGUGUAGCGGUGAAAUGCGCAGAUAUCAGGAGGAACACCGGUGGCGAAGGCGGGUCUCUGGGCCGUAACUGGACGCUGGAGGAGCGAAAGCAUGGGGAGCGAACAGG